CUUUUCAGAUCACUCCCUUCUGAUGCUUCCACAACCAGUCAUCAUGGCUCAAAGUACAUCUAACUUCUCUCCUUCCCUCCUAGUCUUGUAAGACUGGAUUGAUAAAGGUCUUGACAAGACAGCUUCUGGACAUCUCUAUGCAAAACCACCCACCAAAAGGCUCAGGAAUUGGGAAAAACAGAUGAGAAUAAUGUCCCCUUACUAAUGUAUGCUUUACUUCUGAAUUCCAUUCUUCACAUGCAAUUCUUAACAAGGAACUGACAGAAAAAUGGAAAGACAGAUUUUUCAAAAGCAAAUUAGAGAAUGUGAAGCUGGAACCCAGAUCUCCCUGACAGAUCCUAGUGAACUGGGGAUGGUUGACACAGGGAUGCCAACUCACAGAUUCAGAACAAUGGGUUGACAACCAGCCCUCUGCAUCCUUCAUCUCCCAACAUAUGCUGAGAAUAAAUGGCAUGUCCUGAUAAGGGAUAAAGUACUGGCGUACAUCAAGAAAAGCUGCUUUAGCUGCAAUACAGAGAACAGAAUGGAGGUAGCAAGCAUGUGAGCGGGAAGAUCCAUCAAAGGCCAUUACAACCGUGCAGGCCAGAACUGGAGACUUCCAGAAGAGAAAGGAUUCAUGCUGGAUAUAGAUGCCUGGAGUUCAGAGGUGAGAUCUGGGGCGAGUCAUCCAUGAACAGGUAUUAUUUGAAGCCACCAGGAUGGAUU
rnacentral:lncRNA from 1 species